rnacentral:rRNA from 1 species
AACGAACGCUGGCGGCGCGCCUAACACAUGCAAGUCGAACGAGAAGGCGUAGCAAUACGCUUGUACAGUGGCGAACGGGUGAGGAACACGUGGGUAACCUACCCUCGAGUGGGGAAUAACCAACCGAAAGGUUGGCUAAUGCCGCGUAAGCUUCCAUCUCUUCGGAGGUGGAAGGAAAGCUGUACCGUGGGUACAGCGCUCAAGGAUGGGCUCACGUCCUAUCAGCUUGUUGGUAGGGAACGGCCUACCAAGGCAACGACGGGUAGCUGGUCUGAGAGGACGAUCAGCCACACUGGCACUGCGACACGGGCCAGACUCCUACGGGAGGCAGCAGUGAGGAAUAUUGCGCAAUGGGCGAAAGCCUGACGCAGCGACGCCGCGUGGGGGAUGAAGGUCUUCGGAUUGUAAACCCCUUUCGGGAGGGAAGAUGGGACGGGCGAACCGUUCGGACGGUACCUCCAGAAGCAGCCACGGCUAACUUCGUGCCAGCA